CUAAUUCCUAAACCUAAAUUUCCAAAUUGAAUCAGAAACCCUAAUUCCCAAAUUGGAAACCCUAAUUCUUCCCAAACCUAGCCGCCGAAACCCUACUCCAAUUGCCCUCUUCUCUGACCCAGCAGCCGUGAUACCAACCUUUCCCUUUCUCAAAUCAGUCGCAGUAGUAAAGGGGGAAGGGAUGCAGAAGAAAAACGGACCGAGAGAGAGGAGGCGGAGCUGCGAUCAGAAGUGGAGAUGAGCCACGCUGCUACCUCCGUUCAGCCCGCCGCCACUGCGCCGUCUUUGUCACAGCCACUCCCGCGAGAACUCAUGCCACCGAUUUGUCGCUCGAGGAGCUGCCGUUUUUGCUCGUCGUUUCCCCCUGGAGUCGUCGCCGUCGAGGGCCAGUAGAGGAAGAGAGAACGACCAUGAGCCAGGUUCACCAGCGAGGAGAGGGGCUGUGUGGCACGUCACCGUUGCGACCCAUUUCACGACUAUCACGGCGAGGGUUCUGUUGCCGUCGUCCCAACGUCGCCGUUCGUGCCCCUCUGUUGCCGUCGCUGUUCCGCCCGGCGUCGCCAGUGUUGAGGUCAGCCACUCCACUACCACCGUCGAGCCUUGUUUGGGGCUGGUGCUUCUCUUGGAGGUUGGGAGGAAAGGAGGCAGAACCGCAGAGUAGAGGGGCCACUGUGGUCUGCCGUCGAUCUGCACACCACCUCUGUCGUCAGAGACCACUGUUAGAAUCACUGCCGUUUUGGUAAGCUUGCCCUGUUUCUGGUUCCUCCUAGUUCUGCCAAUUCAAUUUUACUUUGAAGCUUGUCCCUGAAACUGUUUAUAUUGUAUAAAGAGAUUAUUGUAAAUUACCUUGCCGCCACCGUUACUGGAGGUAGCUGCCGGCUCUAUUUGGAGAUUGCUAGUGCCAUUGGAGUCACCGGGAACCAAUGUUGGAGCCGCUCCUGAUGAUUCUGAUGCUGCUACGUAGGUCCCGAGCUGUUGUGUUGUUGCCAGAGGAAGGGAACUCAUAGGAAAAAUGUCACCGACGCUGCUGCUUGGUUUAAUUGCGUUGUUAAUGCGACAUUGAGUGACACAGGUUCGAAGACUCCGUUUGAAGCUGCGGGCGAUUAUAGAACUUAUUUACGAGUUGAGUUUAUAACUUGAGUUUCUUUCGUAGAAUUUCCUCGCCUUUCUAGCUUUAGUUUUUAUUUUAUGCAGAGGAAUAGGCGUUGUACCUGAAUUUUAUUUAAAUUAUUUUGUAUAGUAUUACUAUCAUUAAUAAUUAUGUGAUUAUCAUUACUCGAAAUGUUUGUUAUAUGAUUUUAAAUAAUAAAAGCAAAAUUUUUCUA